rnacentral:rRNA from 1 species
CGCUUGGUGGUCUUAUGCUAAGUAAAUUCUGCUCGGUGAAAAUGAUUUAACAGCAGCGGUAUCUUGACCGUUCAAAGGUAGCAUAAUAAGUUUAGUAAUUGUAAACCUGUCAAUGGGACCAUGGGUUUAUUUAAAUAAGAACUUAAUUAUUAUUGAAAUUAACUAAAAAGUAAAAAUUCUUUUUCUUUUUUAAAAGACGAUAAGACCCUAGAACUUUUUUAAAAAAUUUAGGUGGGGAAUCUUUGAUUAUUUAACAAUCAACAGUAAAAGUACUCUAGGGAUAACAGCUUCAUUUUAAAGAGCCUUUAAAGUUUGAGACCUCGAUGUUGAAUUAAGGACAUUGGUUUUUCAAAAGAAAGCUAAUUUAGGUCUGUUCGACCUUAGCCCCUU